rnacentral:rRNA from 1 species
UACGUAGGGACCAAGCGUUGUUCGGAUUUACUGGGCGGAAAGGGCGCGUAGGCGGCAAUUCAAGUCAUCUGUGAAAUCUCCGGGCUUAACUCGGAAUGGUCAGGUGAUACUGCUUUGCUAGAGUGCAGAAGGGGCAAUCGGAAUUCUUGGUGUAGCGGUGAAAUGCGUAGAUAUCAAGAGGAACACCUGAGGUGAAGACGGGUUGCUGGGCUGACACUGACGCUGAGGCGCGAAAGCUAGGGGAGCAAACGGG